UUUUAAAGGUCAGGAGUUCGAACUUUUGCUUUUCAGAGUAUAUAUAUCAUAUAAUAUCAGGUUAAUUUUAUACAGAUUUUCUGCAAAUAUAGUGAAUUACAAAUGUAUUCAUAUAAAAUUCAACUUUCAUAUAUUAUUUCUGCUAAAGUUCUAAUAUUUUCAUAUAUAUAUAUAUAUAUAUAUAUAUAUAUUCCUCUAGUUUGUUACUCUUAAAGUAGUGUUCAUUUUAUAAGUGUUAAUUAAAGAGGGGUAAAAAGAUCAAUUCAUCUUAUUAACUAACCAACAUCCACCGCAGAUGCAUUGCAAACUA
rnacentral:lncRNA from 1 species